rnacentral:rRNA from 1 species
CCUACGGGAGGCAGCAGUGAGGAAUAUUGGUCAAUGGACGAGAGUCUGAACCAGCCAAGUAGCGUGAAGGAUGACUGCCCUAUGGGUUGUAAACUUCUUUUAUAUGGGAAUAAAAUGUUCCACGUGUGGGAUUUUGUAUGUACCAUAUGAAUAAGGAUCGGCUAACUCCGUGCCAGCAGCCGCGGUAAUACGGAGGAUCCGAGCGUUAUCCGGAUUUAUUUGGUUUAAAGGGAGCGUAGGUGGAUUGUUAAGUCAGUUGUGAAAGUUUGCGGCUCAACCGUAAAAUUGCAGUUGAAACUGGCAGUCUUGAGUACAGUAGAGGGUGGCGGAAUUCGUGGUGUAGCGGUGAAAUGCUUAGAUAUCACGAAGAACUACGAUUGCGAAGGCAGCUCACUGGACUGCAACUGACACUGAGGCUCGAAAGUGUGGGUAUCAAACAGGAUUAGAUACCCCGGUAGUC